UACGGGGGGGGCAAGCGUUGUUCGGAAUUACUGGGCGUAAAGGGUUCGUAGGUGGCCAACUUAGUCAGACGUGAAAUCCCUCAGCUUAACUGGGAACUGCGUCUGAUACUGGAUGGCUCGAGUGCAGGAGAGGAACGCGGAAUUCCAGGUGUAGCGGUGAAAUGCGUAGAUAUCUGGAGGAACACCGGUGGCGAAGGCGGCGUUCUGGACUGCAACUGACACUGAGGAACGAAAGCCAGGGGAGCAAACGGG
rnacentral:rRNA from 1 species